rnacentral:rRNA from 1 species
UAAGGAAUAUUGGACAAUGGAGGCAACUCUGAUCCAGCCAUGCCGCGUGAAGGAAUAAGGCCCUACGGGUUGUAAACUUCUUUUAGACGGGACAAAACCCCUUUACGUGUAAAGGGUUGAUGGUACUGUCAGAAUAAGCAUCGGCUAACUUCGUGCCAGCAGCCGCGGUAAUACGAAGGAUGCAAGCGUUAUCCGGAAUUAUUGGGUUUAAAGGGGUCGUAGGCGGAAUAAUAAGUCAGUGGUGAAAGCCUGCAGCUUAACUGCAGAAUUGCCAUUGAUACUGUUAGUCUUGAGUACAGUUGAGGUAGGCGGAAUGUGUCAUGUAUCGGUGAAAUGCUUAGAUAUGACACAGAACACCGAUUGCGAAGGCAGCUUGCUAAGCUGUAACUGACGCCGAGGCACGAAAGCGUGGGGAGCAAACA